rnacentral:rRNA from 1 species
UCUUGGACAAUGGGCGAAAGCCUGAUCCAGCAAUGCCGCGUGAGUGACGAAGGCCUUAGGGUUGUAAAGCUCUUUUACCAGGGAUGAUAAUGACAGUACCUGGAGAAUAAGCUCCGGCUAACUCCGUGCCAGCAGCCGCGGUAAGACGGAGGGCGCGAGCGCUGUUCGGAAUUACUGGGCGUAAAGCGCGCGCAGGCGGACGGUGCAAGUCAGGGGUGAAAUUCUGGGGCUCAACCCCGGAGCUGCUCUUGAUACUGCCUGUCUAGGGACCGGUAGGGGCCGGUGGAAUUCCCGGUGUAGCGGUGGAAUGCGUAGAGAUCGGGAAGAACACCCGUGGCGAAGGCGGCCGGCUGGGCCGGAUCCGGCGCUGAGGCGCGAAAGCGUGGGGAGCAAAC